rnacentral:rRNA from 1 species
AGAGUUUGAUUAUGGCUCAGAACGAACGCUGGCGGCGUGCCUAACACAUGCAAGUCGUGCGGGAAAGUGGGGGCAACCCUGCGAGUACAGCGGCGCACGGGUGAGUAACACGUAGGUAACCUACCUCCGAGACUGGGAUAACCUGUCGAAAGACGGGCUAAUACCAGAUAAGACCACCGAGGUUGCGGCUUCGGCGGUAAAAGAUGGCCUCUGCUUGCACGCUAUCACUUGGGGAUGGGCCUGCGCGCCAUUAGCUAGUUGGCGGGGUAAAAGCCCACCAAGGCGGAGAUGGCUAGCUGGUCUGAGAGGAUGGCCAGCCACACUGGGACUGAGACACGGCCCAGACUCCUACGGGAGGCAGCAGUGGGGAAUAUUGCGCAAUGGGCGAAAGCCUGACGCAGCGACGCCGCGUGGGUGAUGAAGGCCUUCGGGUCGUAAAGCCCUGUCGGGGGGGACGAAACCUCUCGGUGCUAAUAUCGCCGAGACUUGACGGUACCCCCUAAGGAAGCACCGGCUAACUCCGUGCCAGCAGCCGCGGUAAUACGGAGGGUGCGAGCGUUGUUCGGAAUCACUGGGCGUAAAGCGCGUGUAGGCGGCUCCUUAAGUCUGAUGUGAANG